CUACCAGAUUUUGAUAGGUCACCUUCGAAGUAUAUUGAUAAAGAAAAUUGUGGCCCCAUAACUCCUUCAGUACUCAAAAGUCCAUGGAAAAUACUGUUUUGGUACAGAUAGGGCUGGAAAAUUCUUGGGUUUGGUUGUGUUUUGGUUGGGUUGACCAUAAAGAGAUGUUUUAGCGAGUCAUUUAAAUUUAAUCCGUUAAAUUUAUGGUGAAAAUGAUUGAAUCCAAAAUGACCCAUUUUGUUACCGGGUUAAUUGUUUCAUUCGUUAACAAAAAAUAAUAAUAAUUAAAUUGUUUGGGUGGUUCUUAGUUGGGGUUUUCAUUUUUAACUUGUCAACAGAUAUUUAACAAUUUUGUGGGCGGACUCGAAACCAACCAUUAAAUAAUGGGUCAUUAAUGAUUUCAAUUGUUAUCAACUCGGCCCGUUAAGACCCAACCUAGUUACUGAUUUUAGCGGGCCCGCUGUUACCUCUAUUUACAGUUAAAGAAUUUUUAUUAAACGCAAGUCACCGUAUGAUAUGAAUAUUACAUAAAAAGUAGUGUUAUUUUUCACGUUUUUACCAAAAUAGUGUUAUUUUUCGCAUAACCAUCUAGUACCCGUAUGAUGACGUUCUGGUUUAAUAACGCAAUUCUACUUUUAAUCUCAGUCCACAUAAUAUACACUCUUAACUAAAAUGCUAUCCUAACAGUGUUACGAGUCUAUCCAAGUCCUCCCUUUUUUCCCAUGAGAAAAAACAUCAUCAUCCAUGGCCCUUCCAGCAAUGCAAAAGUCCAAAAGGUGCGGUAAAAGUUGCUACUUCAUGAUGCACAUGGCAAGGACUUGGAUAUAUCGACAUAGGACUCAUGUGAUUGUCUUUAUCUUGUAUUUUGUUUCGGGAUGUGCUAUCCACACAUCCUUUGUUAAUUUCUGUCCGUUGAUCUUCUUCAAUUCAUCCGAUUCGACGGCCGAAAAUAAAAAAUGUGUAGGAGAAGUAAAAAGGGAUGUGUCGAUAUCACACCCCUUUCUUUUUUCUAAUAAAUUUGGAAACUGAAAAUUGCUGAACAUUAUUCCAUAU